AUGAAUAAAUGUUUGCCACCACUAGAAAUACAUCCUGGCCUAAAGUCCAAGCUCAUACUAUAGAAGGGGUCUCUGAUGUGAUGAUGGUUGAUAUUGACCUAGCUGGUUGCCAGAGGUAUACAAGACUCCUAUUGUUAAUAGCAUUGUAAAAGAGAAGAAAUCCCUUGUUCCUUUUAAGACAAUAGGAAAAGAUCAAGAACUACAAAUGCUCCUGAAUACACACCAAGGCCCUGACAGGACCGCAGAAUUUUGGAUGUUUUAGUCAUUUUCUCUGGAGAAGUAAGUUCUAAAACUGAUUCUUAAUAUGUUAGAAGAAUAAUAGAAUCUAUGAUCGAAUUUUCUAGAUUUUAAGCCAAGACUUUCCAAUUUAAUUGCUUAACA
rnacentral:lncRNA from 1 species